rnacentral:rRNA from 1 species
GAUGAACGCUGGCGGCGUGCCUAAUACAUGCAAGUCGAGCGAACGGACGAGAAGCGUGCUUCUCUGAUGUUAGCGGCGGACGGGUGAGUAACACGUGGAUAACCUACCUAUAAGACUGGGAUAACUUCGGGAAACCGGAGCGAAUACCGGAUAAUAUUUUGAACCGCAUGGUUCAAAAGUGAAAGACGGUCUUGCUGGCACUUAUAGAUGGAUCCGCGCUGCAUUCGCUAGUGGGUAAGGUAACGGCUUACCAAGGCAACGAUGCAUAGCCUACCUGAGCGGGUGGUCGGCCACACUGCACCUGUGCCGCGGUCCAGACUCCUACGGGACGCAGCAGUGGGGUGUCUUCCGCUAUGGGCGAAGGCCUGACGGAGCCCCGCCGCGUGGGUGAUGAGGGUCCUCGGUUCGUAAAUCUCUGCUACUAGGGAAGAACAUAAGUGUAAGUAACUGUGCACAUAUUGACGGUACCUAACCAGAAAGCCUCGGCUAACUACGUG